UUUUUGAAAGACAGAGAACAUAAAGUUGGAAGAAGCAAGUGUUGGUGAACCACCAUGAAAAACAGGACCUUGAUCACCAGCUUCCCAGAGAGUACUGCAAGCUUAAUGAAAAGAAGUAGAAACUCUCAGAUUUGAGCCUGUGAACAGCACAGUCCAGAACUCCCUCGGCCUACCUUGUGUCGUACAAUAUAUAUUCCUCUUACCAGCAAGCAUAACAGAGGCCAUGGAAGAGGCUGCAGGACAGUCAGAAAGGUGAUCGUGAACCCCCAGGCAAAGUUCUGGAGCACAGUAAGGAGUGUAGACUCCUGGCUCUUGUCUAUUGUGUAAUGCUUGCUUCACAUGGACUACAGUUGCUGUUUGAGGUUUCCUGCUCUAUUUACUGAGCUUGAAUGAUCUCCAAACCCUUUUUAACGUCUUGUGAUUUACUUGUCAGCUAAUGAGUUGGACACAAUCUGACAUGAGCCCACCUGAUAUUUGCAUAAGCAUCACUACGUGGCCUUCUUGAGAACUGCACUUCAACAUGCCGCUCACUGCACUUCUGCUCAAAUCAGGAUAUAGAUGGAAUGAAGGAAGGAAUUUUUGUCUCUUGUUAACAGUGACUACCAUCGUUCCUGGCACACUGUGUGCACAAAACCUAUAAAUCCAGGACUUUAUUUUAAGCGAUUCUAAAUCUUUCUGUGAAACUCCCUUCCUCCAGUUAACCUUUAAAUAUGAUCCCAUAAAUCCUG